rnacentral:rRNA from 1 species
UCCAGACUCCUACGGGAGGCAGCAGUGGGGGAUAUUGCACAAUGGGGGCAACCCUGAUGCAGCGACGCCGCGUGAGCGAUGGAGUACUUCGGUAUGUAAAGCUCUGUCAGCAGGGAAGAGAAUGACGGUACCUGACCAAGAAGCCCCGGCUAAAUACGUGCCAGCAGCCGCGGUAAUACGUAUGGGGCAAGCGUUAUCCGGAUUUACUGGGUGUAAAGGGAGCGUAGACGGCAGAGCAAGUCUGAAGUGAAAGCCCGCGGCCCAACCGCGGGACUGCAUUGGGAACUACCGGGCUGGAGUGCCGGAGAGGUAGGCGGAAUUCCUAGUGUAGCGGUGAAAUGCGUAGAUAUUAGGAGGAACACCAGUGGCGAAGGCGGCCUACUGGACGGUGACUGACGCUGAGGCUCGAAAGCGUGGGGAGCAAACAGGAUUAGAUACCCCGGUA